rnacentral:rRNA from 1 species
GGAGUUAGCCGGUGCUUCUUCUGUGAGUGAUGUCCUUCCUGCCGGUUAUUGACCCGCAGGCCUUCUUCCUCACUGAAAGUGCUUUACAACCCGAAGGCCUUCUUCACACACGCGGCAUGGCUGGAUCAGGGUUGCCCCCAUUGUCCAAUAUUCCCCACUGCUGCCUCCCGUAGGAGUCUGGGCCGUGUCUCAGUCCCAGUGUGGCUGAUCAUCCUCUCAGACCAGCUACGGAUCGUCGCCUUGGUGAGCCGUUACCUCACCAACCAGCUAAUCCGACAUAGGCUCAUCCGAUAGCGCGAGGCCCGAAGGUCCCCCGCUUUCCCCCGUAGGGCGUAUGCGGUAUUAGCCUGGGUUUCCCCAGGUUAUCCCCCACUACCGGGCAGAUUCCUAUGCAUUACUCACCCGUCCGCCGCUCGCCACCAGGGAGCAAGCUCCCCGUGCUGCCGCUCGACUUGCAUGUGUUAGGCCUGCCGCCACGCGUCAUCUGAGCGAGAUACAACUACUCGA